rnacentral:rRNA from 1 species
ACGUAGGGGGCAAGCGUUGUCCGGAUUUAUUGGGCGUAAAGAGCGUGUAGGCGGCCAGGUAGGUGGGUUGUGAAAACUGGAGGCUCAACCUUCAGACGUCGACCCAAACCCCCUGGCUAGAGUCCGGAAGAGGAGAGUGGAAUUCCUGGUGUAGCGGUGAAAUGCGCAGAUAUCAGGAAGAACACCCGUGGCGAAGGCGGCUCUCUGGGACGGUACUGACGCUGAGACGCGAAAGCGUGGGGAGCGAACAGGAUUAGAUACCCUGGUAGUCCACGCCGUAAACGAUGGGUGCUAGGUGUGGGGGGUGUCAACUCCCUCCGUGCCGAAGCUAACGCAUUAAGCACCCCGCCUGGGGAGUACGGCCGCAAGGCUA